AGCAAACGGGAUUAGAUACCCCGGUAGUCCUUAGCCCUAAACUAUGAUCAUUAGGUGUAUGAGGUAUCGACCCCUCGUGUGCCGCAGCUAACGCGUUAAAUGAUCCGCCUGGGAAGUACGGCCGCAAGGCUAAAACUCAAAUGAAUUGACGGGGGCCCGCACAAGCGGUGGAGCAUGUGGUUCAAUUCGAUGCUACGCGAAUAACCUUACCUGGGCUUGACAUGUUUGUAGUAAUGACCCGAAAGGGAAGUGAUCCCGGUUUACCGGGAAGCUUACACAGGUGCUGCAUGGCUGUCGUCAGCUCGUGUCGUGAGAUGUUGGGUUAAGUCCCGCAACGAGCGUAACCCCUAUUGUUAGUUGUCCUGAUUUUUUCAGGACCCUCUAGCGAAACUGCCUCGGAUAACGGGGAGGAAGGUGGGGAUGAGGUCAAGUCAUCAUGGCCCUUAUGUCCAGGGCGACACACGUGCUACAAUGGUGCAUACAAAGGGGAGCAAUACGGUAACGUGGAGCAAAUCCCAAAAAGUGUACCUCAGUUCGGAUAGAAGGCUGCAAUUCGCCUUCUUGAAGCUGGAAUCGCUAGUAACCGCAGAUCAGCGUGCUGCGGUGAAUACGUUCUCGGGCCUUGUACACACCGCCCGUCACACCAUGAA
rnacentral:rRNA from 1 species